GGGGAAUUUUGGACAAUGGGCGAAAGCCUGAUCCAGCAAUGCCGCGUGUGCGAAGAAGGCCUUCGGGUUGUAAAGCACUUUUGUCCGGAAAGAAAUCCGCCUGGCUAAUACCCGGGCGGGAUGACGGUACCGGAAGAAUAAGCACCGGCUAACUACGUGCCAGCAGCCGCGGUAAUACGUAGGGUGCGAGCGUUAAUCGGAAUUACUGGGCGUAAAGCGUGCGCAGGCGGCUUUGUAAGACAGAUGUGAAAUCCCCGGGCUCAACCUGGGAACUGCAUUUGUGACUGCAAGGCUAGAGUGCGUCAGAGGGAGGUGGAAUUCCGCGUGUAGCAGUGAAAUGCGUAGAGAUGCGGAGGAACACCGAUGGCGAAGGCAGCCUCCUGGGAUGACACUGACGCUCAUGCACGAAAGCGUGGGGAGCAAACA
rnacentral:rRNA from 1 species